GGAAGAGGAGGGAGGAGUGUUCGCCAUUUUGCUGGUCUUUCAUCAUGGUGUGGGCAGUUGGUUGCUGUGCGUCGUGUGGGGAGGACAGACGUUCCCGCCGCUCCUCGCUAGCACCCACGCUACUGGGACGCUCUGCCCUCUCGCUGCCUUGGAACUGUGCUGGUGUUGACCCGUGACCCGCCUCAUUGUGGACUUGUUACCGAUGCGCCCUGCCCUCGCCUCACACCCAUCACUUAAUGAGGGGGAAAUGAGGCAGCGAUGAAAAUUAAUACGCAUAUCAGGGAGUAUCGCACAUUGGCAGGAGAGGGAGCGACACACUCACACAGACAGACAACCUUACAAGUCCAGCCCGCCGCGGAGAACAAAACGACGGGGAUUUCACCUUCUGCCACGCCGUCUGCAGCCUUCUGUCCUGGUUUGGCGAAGACCACGGCAGGCGCCCACGCUACCCCUUCUUCACGCCCACACGCCCAGUCACCCACCCCUGACAUCACCUUCUCCCUGUGACGUCACCGUGGAGUUGUGAGCAAGAGGGAUGUAUGUGACUUGGUUUUUCGCUCUACGUUUUCUUCCAGAGGGUAAAAAGGUGGAGGGGUUACUCGUGUGUGUGUGUGUGUGUGUGUGUGUGUGUGUGGAAAGGAGAAGCCCGCACGCUCGAAACAAGUAAAACAACAAACAAAUUCAUACCCAACUGUGGAGGUAUCGCUUUCAUCACACACACACACACACACACACACACAGUAUGCAUUUGGUACCAGACAAUACUUCGCUCUUUCUCCACAGCAAAGGCCUCAACACAACAGAGAGAGAGAGAGAGAGAGAGAGAGAGAGAGAGAGAGAGAGGGGAUAUACACCACUUAACUAAUCUUCCCUUCCUCCCUUCUCCACCAGCAUUACCACCACCCUUCCUACCCUGGCGAGGACAACAGAGGAACUGAGGGCGCCGCUUCACCUUUUUGCCUCCCCUGCUGGGUUGAGGGAAGCUGCAAUGUUCGGCUGAGAGGCAAUAUUGCACUUUCCCCGGCCUAGAAGGGGUGGAACUUGCUUCGUGAGACAACACCCAAACACCCAAACACGCGCCACCUUUUGCUUUCGUCCCAGCGCGAGCAAAGGAGGAACAAAUGACAGGCGAUGUGCUGGCUCUCACAGGAUUGGAGAUAAAGGGUUCACUGAUCUUACUACGUGUCUUACGUGGAAGGUGUCUGUUCGAGUUACGAGUGUUGCUGUGAAUUCCUUUGUUUUGUGUUCCCGGAUGGUCAGGAUUAAUGGUUAAUUACUUGAAGAUAAUUGUAUGGUUCAAGUUUGUUCUUUUUACGUGAUUUGCAUAUUUUGCUUUUACUCUUUAUUUGUAGAUGGUUCAGGUUAGUUUGUAUUUUUUUUCUUAGAGAGAGAGAGAGAGAGAGAGAGAGAGAGAGAGAGAGAGAGAGAGACGGACGGACAGAAAGACGGACGGACUUCACAUCCACUCUUUCAUCAAUCAAAUGCAGUAGACCAGGUGAGGACAAGUGCAUUCUUGUGGUUUUAAGUCAAAUUGCACUAGUCCCGGCCUGCUAUACUUGCGUCCUUCCUGCCCACCACCACUACCACCAAGCGAUGCCUCUCCACCACCACCACCAAGCAAAGCAUCACCACCACCAUCACCACCUCCCAGCGAUACGUCUCCGUCACCAACUAGGAAAUACCAAGAUGAAAGAGACGAAGGCUUAAGUGAAAACAUAAUGCAUAGUUUGAAGUUAAUCAUGGUGUGUGUGUGUGUGUGUGUGUGUGUGUGUGUGUGACUUCUGGCCAACGAUAUUCACUUAUUAAAAUCCCUUGAGUUGACAUGUCCCUGUAGAUAAAAGUAAUGUUAGGAAAGCUGCCUCAUUAAGCAUAGGGAGCCGCUGUCUGUACACUUGUAUGCUAUCGCUACAGGAAAUAAAUGAUAUAACCAAGUGUGUUUCUAGCUUACCUGUUGUCUGGAGGGAAGUCAUUGCUGUCUCCAUUCCUUGACAAUAAAUUGUCUUGUUAAUUCUGGAAAAAAGAAAAGUAGUAAUGAUAAUGAUAAACCAAAAUAAAUAUCUAUAUAUACUAAGGGCGGCAAUCCCACACUGGGUAACUUAUACAAAGCACUGCACUCGUACACACAUCAUUCACACAAUCCUGUUUUGUCAUCCGGCCAAAGUAAAAUUAAAUAACAAUGAUAAUAUUAAAGACAAAAAAAAUAAUAAUAAAUAAUAUUAAUAA
rnacentral:lncRNA from 1 species